CCACCCGAGUGCUGUGACUUCAACCUUUCAGAGCAAUUCUGUGAAGUGGUUACUAUUAUCUCAACUGUACAGAGAAGGAAAUGGAAUCCUGGAGAGGUUCAGGUCCUGGCCUCCACUGGCUUCCAAGAGGCAGGCUGAUGGGAAAUCCAAAACAUUGUUCUCUGGCCUUUCAGAGGGAUUCCAAGGAGAGUGCUGAGCAUGGUUCCCUCUCCCCAUCUCAUCAACAGGAAGAGCACAUCAUUUCAAAUAUCGAAGUGGGUCCAUGUUUCUGUCAGGUGUCUCUGGACACACCUUAUGUAGUAUUAUCUCUCCUCUCAGAGCUGGGGAGAUUUCCAUCAUCUUCGUGGGAAGUUCGUGUUUCGAUUUGGAUUCCCAGCUUAUUGUGCAUGGCUUUUACCAAAAAACUUAUUUGAGCCCCAGUUUCAUGAUUUAAGACCUAAUAGUGAUAAUAAUAUUUAUUAAACUGGGAUGCUGAGAAGAUUGGAUAGAAAACCAUAAAUGCCUGG
rnacentral:lncRNA from 1 species